UACGGAGGGUGCAAGCGUUGUCCGGAUUUAUUGGGUUUAAAGGGUGCGUAGGCGGGAGAUUAAGUCAGGGGUGAAAGACUGCAGCUCAACUGUAGCAGUGCCUUUGAUACUGAUUUUCUUGAGUACAGAUGAGGCUGGCGGAAUGGGUGGUGUAGCGGUGAAAUGCGUAGAUAUCGGAAGGAACAUCAGUGGCGAAAGCGGCUUCCUGGACCAGUACCGACGUCAGGCACGAAAGCGUGGGGAGCAAACAGG
rnacentral:rRNA from 1 species